UACGGAGGGAGCUAGCGUUGUUCGGAAUUACUGGGCGUAAAGCGCGCGUAGGCGGCUUUGUAAGUCAGAGGUGAAAUCCCGGAGCUCAACUCCGGAACUGCCUUUGAGACUGCAUCGCUUGAAUCCGGGAGAGGUGAGUGGAAUUCCGAGUGUAGAGGUGAAAUUCGUAGAUAUUCGGAAGAACACCAGUGGCGAAAGGCGGCUCACUGGACCGGUAUUGACGCUGAUGUGCGAAAGCGUGGGGAGCAAACAGG
rnacentral:rRNA from 1 species